GAUGAACGCUGGCGGCGUGCCUAAUACAUGCAAGUCGAGCGAACAGACGAGGAGCUUGCUCCUCUGACGUUAGCGGCGGACGGGUGAGUAACACGUGGAUAACCUACCUAUAAGACUGGGAUAACUUCGGGAAACCGGAGCUAAUACCGGAUAAUAUAUUGAACCGCAUGGUUCAAUAGUGAAAGACGGUUUUGCUGUCACUUAUAGAUGGAUCCGCGCCGCAUUAGCUAGUUGGUAAGGUAACGGCUUACCAAGGCGACGAUGCGUAGCCGACCUGAGAGGGGGAUCGCCCACACGGGAACUUAGACACGGUCCAGACUCCUACGGGAGGCACCAGUAGGGAAUCUUCCGCAAUGGGCGAAAGCCUUACGGAGCAACGCCGCGUGAGUGAUGAAGGUCUUCGGAUCGUAAAACUCUGUUAUUAGGGAAGAACAAAUGUGUAAGUAACUAUGCACGUCUUGACGGUACCUAAUCAGAAAGCCACGGCUAACUACGUG
rnacentral:rRNA from 1 species